rnacentral:tRNA from 9 species
GGGCGCGUAGCUCAGCGGUAGAGCACUACGUUGACAUCGUAGGGGUCACAGGUUCGAUCCCUGUCGCGCCCACCA